rnacentral:rRNA from 1 species
UACGGAGGGGGCUAGCGUUGUUCGGAAUUACUGGGCGUAAAGCGCACGUAGGCGGCUUUGCAAGUCAGAGGUGAAAGCCCGGGGCUCAACCCCGGAAUUGCCUUUGAGACUGCAUCGCUAGAAUUGUGGAGAGGUAAGUGGAAUUCCGAGUGUAGAGGUGAAAUUCGUAGAUAUUCGGAAGAACACCAGUGGCGAAGGCGACUUACUGGACACAUAUUGACGCUGAAGUGCGAAAGCGUGGGGAGCAAACAGG